rnacentral:pre_miRNA from 1 species
AGAGAAAUAGUUGGGUCAAAUGGUAGUUGCAUUCCCAGAUUUCCAAGGAAUCUCCAUACUGCUUUCCAAAUUGGCUGCAUCAAUUUGCAGUCCCACCAGCAAU